UACGAAGGUGGCAAGCGUUGUUCGGAUUUACUGGGCGUACAGGGAGCGUAGGCGGUUGGAUAAGCCCUCCGUGAAAUCUCCAGGCUUAACCUGGAAAGUGCAGAGGGGACUGUUCAGCUAGAGGAUGGGAGAGGAGCGCGGAAUUCCCGGUGUAGCGGUGAAAUGCGUAGAGAUCGGGAGGAAGGCCGGUGGCGAAGGCGGCGCUCGUGGAACAUU
rnacentral:rRNA from 1 species